UUUACCCUGGUUGAUCCUGCCAGUAGUCAUAUGCUUGUCUCAAAGAUUAAGCCAUGCAAGUGUAAGUACAUGCUUUCAUACAGUGAAACUGCGAAUGGCUCAUUAAAUCAUAUGUGAUUUCUUAGAUCGUAAUCAGUGUCUGCGGGCAUUGAGUCGGAUAACUGUGGUAAUUCUAGAGCUAAUACAUGCAAUCAAGCUCAGACCUUCGGGGACGAGCGCUCUUAUUAGACCAAGGCCAACCCGUGACGAAAGUUGCGGUGCGCUAGUGGUGACUCUGGAUAAACCUAGUUGAUCGCACGACCUCUGCGUCGGCGACGUAUCUUUCAAGCGUAUGCCCUAUCACUUAUAGUCGAUAAGAUAAACUCUUAUCGAGAGGUCAACGGGUAGCGAGGAAUCAGGGUUCGAUUUCGGAGAGGGGGCAUGAGAAAUGGCCACCACAUCCAAGGAAGGCAGCAGGCGCGUAAAUUACCCAAUCCCGACAUGGGGAGGUAGUGACGAAAAAUAACAAUACGGGACUCUUUCGAGGCCCCGUAAUUGGAAUGAGCACAGUCUAAAUCCUUUAGCGAGGAUCUAUUGGAGGGCAAGUCUGGUGCCAGCAGCCGCGGUAAUUCCAGCUCCAAUAGCGUAUAUUAAAGUUGCUGCAGUUAAAAAGCUCGUAGUUGGAUCUCGGGUUCGGCGGGGUGGUCCUGUUCACGCAGGCUUACUGCCCUUAGCUGUCCUCACCAGUGGCAGUUGUAGUUGGUGCUGGUCGAACAGUGCCCUACGCGCCUCGGGUGCCCUUAACUGGGUGCCCGCUGGCGGCCACUGCGUUUACCUUGAUGAAAGCAGAGUGUUCAAAGCAGGUCAUGACGCUCGAAUAUGUGUGCAUGGAAUAAUGGAAAAUGAUCGAGUAGCCAAUUCUCGUUGGCCUUUGGUUGCGAGGUAAUGAUUGAGAGGGACUGCCGGGGGCAUUAGUAUGGCGGCGCUAGAGGUGAAAUUCUUGGACCGUCGCCAGACUAACAAGAGCGAAAGCAUUUGCCAAGAAUGUCUUCAUUAAUCAAGAACGAAAGUCAGAGGUUCGAAGACGAUCAGAUACCGUCGUAGUUCUGACCAUAAACGAUGCCAGCUAUGCCUCGGCGGGAGUUGUUUUCUAUGACCCUGCCAGGGCCUCCCGGAAAACCAAAGCUUUUGGGUUCCGGGGGAAGUAUGGUUGCAAAGCUGAAACUUAAAGGAAUUGACGGAAAGGCACCACCAGGAGUGGAGCCUGCGGCUUAAUUUGACUCAACACGGGAAAACUCACCCGGCCCGGACACUGCAAGGAUUGACAGAUUGAGAGCUCUUUCUCGAUUCGGUGGAUGGUGGUGCAUGGCCGUUCUUAGUUGGUGGAGUGAUUUGUCUGGUUAAUUCCGAUAACGAACGAGACUCUGGCCUAUUAACUAGUCAGCAGGUCGACCUCGUGUCAGCCUGUGCCGACUUCUUAGAGGGACUAGUGGCGUUUAGCCACGCGAGAUUGAGCAAUAACAGGUCUGUGAUGCCCUUAGAUGUUCGGGGCCGCACGCGCGCUACACUGAAGGACUCAGCGUGUUUGUCUCUCCUGGCCUGGAAGGGCUGGGCAAUCCGUUGAACCUCCUUCGUGCUAGGGAUCGGGGCUUGCAAUUAUUCCCCGUCAACGAGGAAUUCCCAGUAAGCUCGAGUCAUCAGCUCGAGUUGAUUACGUCCCUGCCUUUUGUACACACCGCCCGUCGCUACUACCGAUUGGAUGGCUUAGUGAGGUCUUUGGACUGGCCCGCCUAUUCGGGGUGCCUUCGGGUGCCUCUGGGUGWGUUGUUAGGAAGAAGAUCGAACUUGACUGUCUAGAGGAAGUAAAAGUCGUAACAAGGUUUCC
rnacentral:rRNA from 1 species